rnacentral:rRNA from 1 species
UACGGAGGGUGCAAGCGUUAUCCGGAUUUAUUGGGUUUAAAGGGUCCGUAGGCGGAUCUGUAAGUCAGUGGUGAAAUCUCACAGCUUAACUGUGAAACUGCCAUUGAUACUGCAGGUCUUGAGUGUUAUUGAAGUAGCUGGAAUAAGUAGUGUAGCGGUGAAAUGCAUAGAUAUUACUUAGAACACCAAUUGCGAAGGCAGGUUACUAAGCAACAACUGACGCUGAGGAGCGAAAGCUAGGGGAGCAAACGGG